CCUACGGGUGGCAGCAGUGGGGAAUAUUGCGCAAUGGGCGAAAGCCUGACGCAGCGACGCCGCGUGAGGGAUGAAGGUCUUCGGAUCGUAAACCUCUGUCAGUAGGGAAGAACGGUCACUGUGCUAAUCAGCAGUGAAUUGACGGUACCUGCAAAGGAAGCACCGGCUAACUCCGUGCCAGCAGCCGCGGUAAUACGGAGGGUGCGAGCGUUAAUCGGAAUUACUGGGCGUAAAGCGCUCGUAGGCGGUAUGUCAAGUCAAGGGUGAAAUCCCCGCGCUCAACGUGGGAACUGCCUUUGAAACUGGCAAACUGGAGUGGGUGAGAGGAUAGUGGAAUUCCAGGUGUAGGAGUGAAAUCCGCAGAUAUCUGGAGGAACAUCAGUGGCGAAGGCGACUAUCUGGAACAUAACUGACGCUGAGGAGCGAAAGCGUGGGUAGCAAACAGGAUUAGAUACCCGAGUAGUC
rnacentral:rRNA from 1 species